UACGUAGGGUGCGAGCGUUUGUCCGGAAUUAUUGGGCGUAAAGAGCUCGUAGGCGGUCUGUCGCGUCGAUCGUGAAAACUUGGGGCUUAACCCUGAGCUUGCGGUCGAUACGGGCAUGACUGGAGUUCGGCAGGGGAGACUGGAAUUCCUGGUGUAGCGGUGAAAUGCGCAGAUAUCAGGAGGAACACCGGUGGCGAAGGCGGGUCUCUGGGCCGAUACUGACGCUGAGGCGCGAAAGCGUGGGGAGCAAACAGG
rnacentral:rRNA from 1 species